rnacentral:ribozyme from 1 species
AGUCGUCAGGGCGACUUUAAAUAGGCUUUAGGCCCUGAGCGUGACCGGUUCGCCGGUCGGUAGUA